UAGGGAAUCUUCCGCAAUGGACGCAAGUCUGACGGAGCAACGCCGCGUGAGUGAGGAAGGUCUUCGGAUCGUAAAGCUCUGUUAUGAGGGAAGAACGAGUGUGAGAGUAACUAUUCAUGCUGUGACGGUACCUCAGAAGAAAGCCCCGGCUAACUACGUGCCAGCAGCCGCGGUAAUACGUAGGGGGCGAGCGUUGUCCGGAAUUAUUGGGCGUAAAGCGCGCGCAGGCGGUUUUUUAAGUCUGAUGUAUAAGCCCAGGGCUUAACUUUGGGAGGCAUUGGAAACUGGGAGACUGGAGUGUAGGAGAGGAAAGUGGAAUUCCACGUGUAGCGGUGAAAUGCGUAGAGAUGUGGAGGAACACCAGUGGCGAAGGCGACUUUCUGGCCUAUAACUGACGCUGAGGCGCGAAAGCGUGGGGAGCAAACA
rnacentral:rRNA from 1 species